AGCGACGAUCUACGAAGCUUUGCCGCAAGUUGGACUCGACGCUCAACGUCGCUCCAAGUUCCAGAUCGACAACAUGUUAGGAUCUCUCAGAGACACCAGCUCAGCUAACACUCUUACGCCUCAGUCAAUACCUUGUCCUUUCUGCGGCAAGCUCAUCUAUGGUCGUAACCGUCGUCAAGGUCUCGAGCGACACUUGCGUACUCACACCAAAGAAAAACCAUACCAGUGUCCCGUGUGUCCGCAUCGCGCUAGUAUGCAGCAUAAUAUGCGCCAUCACAUAUUCACCAUGCACGCAUCGGACGAAAAUCUUGUCUUGUCUUUGAAAAACGUCAAUACUUCUGUCAGCCAGUGAAACUUCUCUCACAAGUGUAAAUAAAUAGAAAGCUGAUAGCUCAUCUCGCGGCCAGCGAUCUACUAUGUUAAGCACCAAGGCAUCUCGGUUGGGAGAAACUCGAUUCACGGGACGGGAAAGUGUCCUUAACUUAGCCCAAGGAUUCUCAUCCACCGUGAAUUUAACUUCAGAUCUUCAAGUAGGACUAAUAUCAACUGAGAUCUUUGGAACCGAAGAGUCUCUAGGUGAUCCGUCCAGUGGACGAAGUCAUGCUUACGGUGUUCCUCCGCAGAAACCGUGCACGUUGUGUGGAAAAAUAUUUGCCAGUGGUUGGGAAUUACGUCGUCAUCUGAACACUCACAUGGACAUGAGGCCAUUCAAAUGUCUUUACUGCAACCACCGCUCUAACUUCAAGCACAACCUCAAGGCACAUGUGAAAAUUCAACACAGUGACAAGCCUUUUGGUUUUUCUAUCGACGACAGCAGCGUUCAAUAAAUCAUCUUCGUCAUUUCUUUCUGGCAAAUCUGCCGAGUAAUUAAUUCAUAGAUUUCAAUCACGAGUUUUUUGUUUUAAAUUUUCUUUCGAUAAAUUUUUCAUUUUCCUUUGUCAUCUAACUUGGUUUUUAACAAUGGUUUACCCUACGGCACAUUUUAUCAAGUUGUGCGUUUAUUACUGUAACCUCAUAUUUUACCUACAAAAUCGAUGGUUGUGAUGUCAUAGAUUAUAGCUUGAAAAAUAACGAACAAUUUGUAGGCACUUCUAACCGACAUAGGGUGGAUGACAAGCAUACUGGGAUUGCACGAUUUAAAAAAAAAACAGUCAAUCCAUUUCAUUUUGUAAGCGUAAUAAUGCUCUCUGAUGCCAUCGUUGCUCCGUUACUCUCUUUACUUAAGCUUAUACUCAUUCGCCGGCAUUCUACUCUCUAUAUUGUUACCCUAGAAAGUAUUUGUUUUGCUGUCUUUGUGAUCGCAUGGUAAAUAUACUAAAGGGAUCGGACAAAUAUUUUCAGCUUCUCAUAAGUAUUUACAUUUUUUUCUUGCUCUAAUUUCCCAAGUAUAUAUCUCAUAUUUGUAUUUUCAAAAGUACCGGCAUCUAAUAACUUUGAAAUUUAUCUGACACUGUUUAAUACAAAAUGAACUUUUCGUGGAUGUAAACAUUCAUGUUCAGUAAAAUUAGCUGUUCUACUUCACCUGGAGCAGUUGCGAAAACAAAAGAUUUGUGCUCGAGAUUUAUCUGGUAUUAGGAUAAAUUGUGCUUGCUAAACAAAAUAUGCAUCAACAUAGUUUUUGAAAAAAAAAAUAAUUGUAACGCCUAUUGUUGGUGGAAACCAGGUAUAUUCUUAGUAAUUAUUUAGUUACGUGGUUAAGUAAGUGGGCCUUGCAGCGUGCUAAGUGUCUAUUAACUACUGGUUGUGCGAUAUGUAGUGGUGUGCCUGUUCUCAAAAUAAUUUCUGUACUUCGUAUAAUAAUAAGUAACUAAUUUCCUAGUGACGCUUUACCGUAGAAAUAAUGACUGUAAUGUAUCGAUGUAUGGGUGCAGUUGCUGUUCCUCAGUUCCCUGUUCGGGAGCUGUACAAGGUACAACUUUAUGUCGUGUAUUGUCUUUACAAAAAAAAUUUGGUUUCAU